AGGAAAUCAUUAUCUGAGUUUUGGCGGGAUUGUCCUAUUCUGGCUGAUAAUUCAAAGGAGCAUAAUUGCAUGCCUUAUGAACAUUAUACCGCAACAUUACUUGCA